UGGGGAAUAUUGCACAAUGGGCGAAAGCCUGAUGCAGCAACGCCGCGUGCGGGAUGACGGCCUUCGGGUUGUAAACCGCUUUCAGCAGGGACGAAGGUUUUCUGACGGUACCUGCAGAAGAAGCACCGGCUAACUACGUGCCAGCAGCCGCGGUGAUACGUAGGGUGCGAGCGUUGUCCGGAAUUAUUGGGCGUAAAGAGCUUGUAGGCGGUCCGUUGCGUCGGAAGUGAAAACUCAGGGCUUAACCCUGAGCCUGCUUUCGAUACGGGCGGACUUGAGGGAUGUAGGGAGAACGGAAUUCCUGGUGGAGCGGUGGAAUGCGCAGAUAUCAGGAGGAACACCAGUGGCGAAGGCGGUUCUCUGGACAUUUCCUGACGCUGAGAAGCGAAAGUGUGGGGAGCAAACAGGCUUAGAUCCCUGGUAGUCCACGCGUAAACGGUGGGACUAGGUGUGGGACCCAUUCCAC
rnacentral:rRNA from 1 species